GGGCGCAGUUCAGAUCUCUAUCAGUGCUUUUCUUUCUAUUUCGAUGUUUGUCAAGGUGUUCAAAUGGCGUCAGCAGGUAGACGGAGACGUAGAAGUUUUUCAGAAAUUGAUCGUCCUAACAUGAGUGAUCUGUGGAUUGUGCUGAUAGGAAAGAAUGGAUCAGAAAACAG